rnacentral:lncRNA from 10 species
AAAGUUUUAUUUUUGUAUAUGUGCUAAAUCUUAGGAACUGUGAACAAUCUUCAUGUCAGUCUGUUGGCUUGUAAAAGGCUAAGAAGUGCAUGACUUGGGUGGUGAAAUUUCCUUUUAGGAAUCUGAAUCUCUAAAUAAAUUUUCACACAUUUGCAGUUUUAAAAUGUGGUGCACCUUGCCCCCGCUUCUCUUACACCUAUAAAUUUGGAGGGAAAGUGCUAAAUUUCUGCAAACGUCAAGUAAUUGUUAUAAAUACAAUCAGCAGCAAAUUCUCAAUACACUUAGCACUUCUGUAGUGUUUUAUCACACUCAAAAACCUUAUUUGCAAAAACUGAACACUCACAUAUAUGUAGGACCAAUUCUGGUUGAGUCCUACUAUGAAACCAAUACUGUUUUUUUUUUCUUGGUAACACAAAAACUGGGGUGUAGGGGAGUGUUUUCCUUUAUCGGCAGUAUGUAGUACCUUCAAACUAGAGACCAAAACUGGGCACUUACAAUGAAAAGGCAAUUUUCUUAUCCAGCUAUAAUCCUAAAUAAGGCAGGAUAUAUCCACCAAAUUACCCACAAAAUUCAGCAAAGUAAAAUAGCUCAUGGGAAAACAUAAGCUGGAAAAAUACUAAUAAAAAAACUGAAUUACUUCGAAGUAGUCAUCUGAAUAUUCACAGACUUGUUUUCAUUUACAAAUGUAAGUCAAAAAAGUCUCCUCAUCUUUCUAACCACUACGAGGAUUAAGGAUUUAAGUUAUUCACUAAGUUAAUCAUGAAAAAAAUAGAAAACAUUUUAAUUCUAAAUUUGUAUACACAACAGCUAAAAGACACAAGGCUGGGAAAUUAUCACCAGGAGAAAAAUCAAUGAAAGAAAAAAAAAACCUAGUAUGUUAUUUCUGCCUCUACAAUGCUAAACAUGAAAGUUCAGUUGGUGGAGGGCUUAGAAACAGCAGCAACAUGGUUUAACAAGUUGUGCACUGAAAUACUUAGAUACAAUAGGGCAAAAGCCCUUGUUCACAUGGUUUUACAACUAAAAUAUCUUCAGUCUUUAUGGUAACACAUUCUACUGUCUUCUAUAAUCGUGUCAUUUAGAAUUCUGGGGGCUGUUUCUUUCAAAGGAAGACUGGCGAUUCCGCAAACAUUUAAAAUAGGAAAUAUAUGGCUCAAAAAAUCAGUUGAGGGAGAACUAAAUAAUCCUUAGGCACUUUGAAGACUUGAAAUUUAAAAUGUGCCACUUGUGUUCAGAAAAAGACCUCAAAAUCACCAUUAUGUUGCUCUUGCAACAACAUGCAUCUUUAAAUUUCUGGUUAUACAUUAAUGCUUGAGUUAAAUAUAGAAAAUAAUUUGCACAAACAAAAAUAACUCCACUUUCCCUUGCUCCUAGUCACAACGAAUACCACUCUUCCUCAAAUGGAGACAAAAAUGACUCACAAGCCCCUCACCUGGCACAAGGGGGCUUGUAACUUCAAAGCAACCAAGGUUGGGCUCUUCCUCCAAGCAGAAAAAUUCACAGCCUUUUAUAUGUCAAGUUUUCUCUCAACUAGGAAGUCGUUAAAGUUUUUAAGUACAUUACAUAUUUUGUUAAGGAGCAGCAGGAAAUAUAUAAAUCUCCUCUCAGAUGGUGAGAUGGUACACCUAACUCAUCCAAAUAAAGUUAACCUAUUUCACUCGUUUAAAGAGCUUGGAAUUGAGGAACUUUUAAAUUAAAAAAACUAUCAACUGGGGCCAGGCGCGGUGGCUCACACCUGCAAUCCCAGCACUUUGGGAGGCCGAGGCGGCCAGAUCACCUGAGGUCAGGAGUUCAAGACCAGCCUGGCCAACGUGGUGAAACCCUGUCUCUACAAAAAUACAAAAAUUAGCUGGGCGUGGUGGUGGGCACCUCUAAUCCCAGCUACUCGGGAGGCUGAGGCGGAAGAAUCGCUUGAACCCAGGAGGCGACGUUGCAGUGAGCCAAGAUUGUGCCACUGCACUCCAGCCUGGGUGACAGAGCAAGACUCCAUCUCAAAGAAGAAAACAACAAAAAAAUAAAAACAAAACAAAAAUCAGUUGGAAUUGCAAACACCGUGUGUGACUUUCACUCAAAGUAUCGGUGUCAAAAUGUCCUACAGGAACACCUAGAAGCACAGGUUGACUAUACAGUACUACAAAUAAGAUACCCAAAGCUUUAUCUUAAAUACCUGCCCCUUUUAAUCACAAAAUAAUGCAAUGCUCAAUUUUGUUUCUGCUUUGUUCAGUUCCAAGUGUAGCCUUUUGACAAAACAUUUCCCUAUUAACUGAAUUGUAAAAAAUACAACCAAGCUUGUGCUCAUUAAAUAUACAUGUAUAUAAAAAACAUACAAAAAGUACAAGAUUAUGUUAGGAAACUUUUACAGUGUCAACAUCCUGAUUUCUCAAAAUCUUCAGUAGAGGGCCAAAGGUCAAAUCUUUCUGUGCACAAAAACUUGAUGUGACUGAAAUCCUGAAUCAGUGUCAUGCCUAGGCAUGCUAUGCACAGAAUGAAUUUUAAUAUGCAGUCCUCUUUUAAAAAAAAAAAAAAAGGACAAAAAAAGUAACCAAAAAAAAAACCAAAAACACACCACAGGACAAAAAGUUCUUCUUAAAUCAAAUUCUAUUUGUGAAUUCAGCAAAAUAAUUUCUAUAAAAUAAAACAGCAAAAUAUUUAAAUAGAAUAGGGUGGGCUGUAUCUGUUUGCAGGGUGCAGUGGGUGUAACAAGAAAAUUAACUUUUGUAGUUUGUGUAGAUCUGUGAGUCUC